rnacentral:rRNA from 1 species
UAAGGAAUAUUGCUCAAUGGGAGAAAUCCUGAAGCAGCAACGCCGCGUGGAGGAUGAAGGGUCUAUGACUUGUAAACUCCUGUAAAGAAGGAAAAAAUUCCCAUUUGAUGGGAGAUGAUGGUACUUCUGGAGUAAGCCCCGGCUAACUACGUGCCAGCAGCCGCGGUAAUACGUAGGGGGCAAGCGUUGUCCGGAUUUACUGGGUGUAAAGGGUGCCCAGGCGGAUUUGUAAGUCAGAGGUGAAAUCUUACAGCUUAACUGUGAAACUGCCUUUGAUACUGCAAGCCUAGAGUAUGGAAGAGAGUGAUGGAAUAUCUGGUGUAGCAGUGAAAUGCGUAGAUAUCAGAUAGAACACCAAUGGCGAAGGCAGUCACUUGGUCCAUUACUGACGCUAAAGCACGAAAGCGUGGGUAGCAAACA